GGGGUUGGUGGGUAGGUAGUUUCCUGUUAAGGGGUUGGUAGUUAGGUAGUUUCCUGUUAGGGGUUGGUGGGUAGGUAGUUUCCUGUUAAGGGGUUGGUAGGUAGUUUCCUAUUAGGGGGUUGGUAGGUAGUUUCCUGUUAAGGGGUGGGUAGGUAGUUUCCUGUUAAGGGGUUGGUAGGUAGUUUCCUGUUAAGGGGUGGGUAGGUAGUUUCCUGUUAAGGGGUUGGUGGGUAGGUAGUUUCCUAUUAGGGGGAUGGAAGGUCGUUUCCUGUUAGGGGGUUGGUAGUUAGGUAGUUUCCUGUUAGGGGAUGGUAAGGGGUUGGUGGGUAGGUAGUUUCCUGUUAAGGGGUUGGUGGGUAGUUUCCUGUUAAGGGGUUGGUAGGUAGUUUCCUGUUAAGGGGUUGGUAGGUAGUUUCCUGUUAAGGGGUUGGUGGGUAGGUAGUUUCCUGUUAAGGGGUUGGUGGGUAGGUAGUUUCCUGUUAGGGGUUGGUAGGUCGUUUCCUGUUAGGGGGUUGGUAGGUAGUUUCCUGUUAAGGGGUUGGUAGGUAGUUUCCUGUUAGGGGGUUGGUAGGUAGGUAGUUUCCUGUUAAGGGGUUGGUAGGUAGUUUCCUGUUAAGGGGUUGGUAGGU
ensembl:lncRNA